UGACGUCAUUUGUAAACAAAACCUGGCGGGAUAUCAUAGCACUGCUCAACAUAGACUCAUUCAUUUCCCGGCUAAUAUCAUUGUCUCCUUAGACAUUUACAUUACUCCACAUAGUGUGAUGCAGUGCCUACACGUUCUACAGUAGUAAUACCACCGCGGCACCGCCACAACGGUAGAGAGGGAUGACCUGAUGCCGCUAUCCCGACAUGGUAUACCUCCACCACAGCCUGUAACAGUGGCUGUUCAUCUUCACCCACACCUGAUUUCUUGAGAUGGAAAGACUGUAUGGAACUGGACAUUGGAGUCAAUUACACGGCUCAUUCUGGACCAAAGAAAUCAUGUGAUGGCACCAAACAGAUAUUCUACUGUCGAAGAUCAGGUGUUCAGUCAACGAAGAUUUCCAGUAAGAGUCGUGCAGAAAAGAGCCAAGGUACCUGUAAGAUGGGGUUUUACUGCACCUCAUCAAUUGAAGUUGUGAAGAAGGAUGAAAAGAUUUGUGUGACCUUU